UACGACCACUUCACGAUGAAGCACCAGUUCCUAUACAUUCACCGAAGUUAAGCAAAGUCGACCCUGAUCAGUACCUAGUUGGAUGUCCGCUUGGGAAUACCGUGUGCUGUAAG